AGUGAACGCUGGCGGUAGGCCUAACACAUGCAAGUCGAACGGCAGCACAGUAAGAGCUUGCUCUUACGGGUGGCGAGUGGCGGACGGGUGAGGAAUACAUCGGAAUCUACCUUUUCGUGGGGGAUAACGUAGGGAAACUUACGCUAAUACCGCAUACGACCUACGGGUGAAAGCAGGGGAUCUUCGGACCUUGCGCGAUUGAAUGAGCCGAUGUCGGAUUAGCUAGUUGGCGGGGUAAAGGCCCACCAAGGCGACGAUCCGUAGCUGGUCUGAGAGGAUGAUCAGCCACACUGAACUGAGACACGGUCCAGACUCCUACGGGAGGCAGCAGUGGGGAAUAUUGGACAAUGGGCGCAAGCCUGAUCCAGCCAUACCGCGUGGGUGAAGAAGGCCUUCGGGUUGUAAAGCCCUUUUGUUGGGAAAGAAAAGCAGCAGGUUAAUACCCCGCUGUUCUGACGGUACCCAAAGAAUAAGCACCGGCUAACUUCGUG
rnacentral:rRNA from 1 species